UACGUAGGUGACAAGCGUUGUCCGGAUUUACUGGGCGUAAAGAGCGCGCAGGCGGUCGAUCAAGUCGGGUGUGAAAGCCCCCGGCUCAACUGGGGAGGGUCAUUCGAUACUGUUCGACUCGAAGGCAGGAGAGGGUAGUGGAAUUCCCGGUGUAGUGGUGAAAUGCGCAGAUAUCAGGAGGAACACCAAUAGCGAAGGCGGGUCUCUGGGCCGAUACUGACGCUGAGGAGCGAAAGCGUGGGGAGCGAACAGG
rnacentral:rRNA from 1 species